rnacentral:rRNA from 1 species
ACCUACGGGGCGCAGCAGUGGGGAGUAUUGCACAAUGGGGAAAACCCUGAUGCAGCGACGCCGCGUGAGCGAAGAAGUAUUUCGGUAUGUAAAGCUCUAUCAGCAGGGAAGAAAAAUGACGGUACCUGAGUAAGAAGCACCGGCUAAAUACGUGCCAGCAGCCGCGGUAAUACGUAUGGUGCAAGCGUUAUCCGGAUUUACUGGGUGUAAAGGGAGCGCAGGCGGUGCGGCAAGUCUGAUGUGAAAGCCCGGGGUUCAACCCCGGGACUGCAUUGGAAACUAACGAACUAGAGUGUAGGAGAGGG